rnacentral:lncRNA from 1 species
CGUCUCUGGACGAGACUUUCGGCUGCCGAAGGUGCCGCCGAACAUGCAUGAGGUUCGUCUCUGGAGGGGAGUUUCGGCCGCCGAACCUGCCGCCGAAAGUGCCCUGUCCAGCUUUCUUUUGCAUGUUUUAUGUGCUUGUUCUAGGAUGCUUUAGAGGGUUUUUGGGGAGUUUCUUAGAGAUGUUCUUGAGUUAGUUUGGUCCCUCAUUUCAGUCCACCUGUGUAGGAACGGACCAGAGGAACCAAGGAGUUCAGCAGUGAGCACUACUUCAGAACCUGCAGAGUCAGUACAGAGGUAGCCAGAGGUGAGUGGAACUGAACUAAAUCUUUUAAGAUGAGCACUCAAACAGUUUUAGCAUGUUCAUGCAUCAUUUAUGCCAUGUUGAUAGUAUUGCAUUAGUGAGCACGAAGAUGUUGCAUUAAUCAGUGCAUGUACAGAUCGGGCGUAGCUUGGAUUCAUUAGCCCCCUAAAUGAAGACCUGAGGAGCCCUGAAAGGGCCGGGCACACGGUACCAUAGGGUGCUGAAUGAAGACCUGAGGAGCUCCUUCGCGGGCCGGGCAAUGUGGGGGAAUUUUGAAUUAGUCCGUCUGAGAUUAUGUGAUUUACUUGUGUUAUGAUGCAUUCCAUGAGAUCAUGUUGUAGCACAUGUUUUAUAUGUACUACUCACGGGGCU